UACGGAGGGUGCGAGCGUUAAUCGGAAUUACUGGGCGUAAAGCGCGCGUAGGCGGUUUGGUAAGCUGGAUGUGAAAGCCCUGGGCUCAACCUGGGAACUGCGUCCAGAACUGCCAAGCUAGAGUAUGGUAGAGGGCAGUGGAAUUUCCGGUGUAGCGGUGAAAUGCGUAGAGAUCGGGAGGAACACCAGUGGCGAAAGCGGCCUUCUGGGCCAAGACUGACGCUCAGACGCGAAAGCUAAGGUAGCAAACGGGAUUAGAAACCCUGGUAGUCCCUGAGACUCCAAGGCACACAGGGGGAUA
rnacentral:rRNA from 1 species